AGAAUCAACGCUGGCGGCGUGCCUAACACAUGCAAGUCGAACGAGAAAGUGGAGCAAUCCAUGAGUAAAGUGGCGCACGGGUGAGUAACACGUGACUAACCUACCUUUUAGUGGGGGAUAACCUAGGGAAACCUGGGCUAAUACCGCAUAACACUUACGAGUCAAAGCAGCAAUGCGCUGAAAGAGGGGGUCGCGGCCGAUUAGCUAGGUUGGCGGGGUAAUGGCCCACCAAGGCAGUGAUCGGUA
rnacentral:rRNA from 1 species